rnacentral:rRNA from 1 species
GAUGAACGCUGGCGGCGUGCCUAAUACAUGCAAGUCGAGCGAACGGACGAGAAGCUUGCUUCUCUGAUGUUAGCGGCGGACGGGUGAGUAACACGUGGAUAACCUACCUAUAAGACUGGGAUAACUUCGGGAAACCGGAGCUAAUACCGGAUGAUAUUUUGAACCGCAUGGUUCAAAAGUGAAAGACGGUCUUGCUGUCACUUAUAGAUGGAUCCGCGCUGCAUUAGCUAGUUGGUAAGGUAACGGCUUACCAAGGCAACGAUGCAUAGCCGACCUGAGAGGGUGAUCGGCCACACUGGAACUGAGACACGGUCCAGACUCCUACGGGAGGCAGCAGUAGGGAAUCUUCCGCAAUGGGCGAAAGCCUGACGGAGCAACGCCGCGUGAGUGAUGAAGGUCUUCGGAUCGUAAACCUCUGUUAUUAGGGAAGAACAUAUGUGUAAGUAACUGUGCACAUCUUGACGGUACCUAAUCAGAAAGCCACGGCUAACUACGUG